rnacentral:rRNA from 1 species
UACGUAGGGGGCAAGCGUUGUCCGGAUUUAUUGGGCGUAAAGAGCGUGUAGGCGGCUAGAUAGGUCCGUUGUGAAAACUCGAGGCUCAACCUCGAGACGUCGAUGGAAACCAUCUGGCUAGAGUCCGGAAGAGGAGAGUGGAAUUCCUGGUGUAGCGGUGAAAUGCGCAGAUAUCAGGAAGAACACCCGUGGCGAAGGCGGCUCUCUGGGCCUUACCUGACGCUGAGGAGCGAAAGCGUGGUAGCGAACAGG